rnacentral:rRNA from 1 species
UACAGAGGGUGCAAGCGUUGUUCGGAAUUACUGGGCGUAAAGCGUGCGCAGGCGGUUUUGUAAGACUGUCGUGAAAUCCCCGGGCUCAACCUGGGAAUGGCGAUGGUGACUGCAAGGCUAGAGUUUGGCAGAGGGGGGUAGAAUUCCACGUGUAGCAGUGAAAUGCGUAGAUAUGUGGAGGAACACCGAUGGCGAAGGCAGCCCCUGGGUCAAAACUGACGCUCAUGCACGAAAGCGUGGGGAGCAAACAGG